GAAGGAAUCAUGGUGGAAUACAGUACAUACCAGCUGGCAAAGUCAUGGGGUCCCAGAAGGCUUUGGCUAAUGGAUGUGACUAUGUUGAUAUGGUUAAGUUGAUUUUACUCCUAUUUUGGCCAAAGACCAGCAUCCUGGAACCAGACCAGAAGUGUAAAGAUCGAAGAGCCAUUGUGACAGGUUCGGUCACAGAGACCCCCUUGGCACUGCCACCUGACAUACUGGGAAUUACUUCUGAGCCCAUUUUCCCUGCCAGCUUGGGACUCCAAAACCCUGUCUUGGU